AUUGAACGCUGGCGGCAGGCUUUACACAUGCAAGUCGAGCGGCAGCGGGGACUUCGCCCUUGGAUCCAGCGGCGGACGGGUGAGUAAUGCCUCGGAACCUGCCUGGUAGUGGGGGAUAACGUCCGGAAACGGGCGCUAAUACCGCAUACGUCCUGAGGGUGAAAGCGGGGGACCUACGGCCCUCCCGCUAUUGGAGCGGCCUAGGUCGGAUUAGCUAGUUGGUGGGGUAAAGGCUUACCAAGGCGACGAUCCGUAACUGGUCUGAGAGGAUGAUCAGUCACACUGGAACUGAGACACGGUCCAGACUCCUACGGGAGGCAGCAGUGGGGAAUAUUGGACAAUGGGCGAAAGCCUGAUCCAGCCAUGCCGCGUGUGGGAAGAAGGUCUUCGGAUUGUAAAGCACUUUAAGUUGGGAGGAAGGGCAGUAGGUUAAUACCUUGCUGGGUUGACGUUACCAGCAGAAUAAGCACCGGCUAACUUCGUG
rnacentral:rRNA from 1 species